CCGUCUUGAAACACGGACCAAGGAGUCUAACAUGUGCGCGAGUCAUUGGGUCUGACCAAACCUAAAGGCGCAACGAAAGUGAAGGCAGCCUUGGGUUUGCCUAGGUAGGAUCCUCUUUUUGUAGAGGAGGCGCACUACCGGCCCGUCUCGACCGCGUUGCGGUGGGGCGGAGCGAGAGCGCACACGUUGGGACCCGAAAG
rnacentral:rRNA from 1 species